UCUGUUUUGCAUACAGAAGAUGUGGGAUAGAGUCCCGCAGGUUUUA
rnacentral:tRNA from 1 species